GGAAGGCAGCAGGCAUGCAAAUUACCCACUCCCUACUCGGGGAGGUAGUGAUGAAAAAUAACAAUACAGGACUCUUUCGAGGCCCUGUAAUUGGAAUGAGUCCACUUUAAAUCCUUUAACGAGGAUCCAUUGGAGGGCAAGUCUGGUGCCAGCAGCUGCAGUAAUUCCAGCUCCAAUAGCGUAUAUUAAAGUUGCUCAAACACAAAGUUA
rnacentral:lncRNA from 1 species